GACGAACGCUGGCGGCGUGCCUAAUACAUGCAAGUCGAGCGAAUGACGAGAAGCUUGCUUCUCUGAUUUAGCGGCGGACGGGUGAGUAACACGUGGGCAACCUGCCCUACAGAUCGGGAUAACUCAGGGAAACCUGGGCUAAUAGGGGAUAGUCCUCCGAAUCACCUGUUUUGAAGUUGAAAGGCGCUUACGCGUCCAUGUAGGUUGGGCCCGGGGUGCAUUAGCUAGUUGGGAGGGUAAGGGCCUACCAAGACAACGCUGCAUAGCCGACCUGAGAGGAUGGUCGGCCACACUGGGACUGAGACACGGCCCAAACUCCUACGGGAGGCAGCAGUAGGGAAUCUUCCACAAUGGACGAAAGUCUGGUGGGGCAACGCCGCGUGAGUGAUGAAGGUUUUCGGAUCGUAAAACUCUGUUGUAAGGGAAGAACAAGUACGUUAGGAAAUGAACGUACCUCGACGGUACCUUAUUAGAAAGCCACGGCUAACUACGUGCCAGCAGCCGCCGUAA
rnacentral:rRNA from 1 species